rnacentral:rRNA from 1 species
UACGUAGGGUGCGAGCGUUGUCCGGAAUUACUGGGCGUAAAGAGCUCGUAGGUGGUUUGUCGCGUUGUCCGUGAAAACUCACAACUCAAUUGUGGGCGUGCGGGCGAUACGCGCAGACUGGAGUACUGCAGGGGAGACUGGAAUUCCUGGUGUAGCGGUGGAAUGCGCAGAUAUCAGGAGGAACACCGGUGGCGAAGGCGGGUCUCUGGGCAGUAACUGACGCUGAGGAGCGGAAGCGUGGGGAGCGAACAGG